ACGAAGGGGGCUAGCGUUGUUCGGAAUUACUGGGCGUAAAGCGUGCGUAGGUUGUAUGGUUAGUUAGUGGUGAAAGCCCAGAGCUUAACUCUGGAAUUGCCAUUAAAACUGCCAUGCUAGAGAGUGUUAGAGGUAAGUGGAAUUCCUAGUGUAGGAGUGAAAUCCGUAGAUAUUAGGAGGAACAUCAAUGGCGAAGGCUGCUUACUGGGUCACAUCUGACACUGAGGCACGAAAGCGUGGGGAGCAAACAGGA
rnacentral:rRNA from 1 species